rnacentral:rRNA from 1 species
UACGAAGGGGGCUAGCGUUGUUCGGAAUCACUGGGCGUAAAGGGCGCGUAGGCGGCUUUAUAAGUCGGGGGUGAAAGCCUGUGGCUCAACCACAGAAUUGCCUUUCGAUACUGUAGAGCUUGAGACCGGAAGAGGUAAGUGGAACUGCGAGUGUAGAGGUGAAAUUCGUAGAUAUUCGCAAGAACACCAGUGGCGAAGGCGGCUUACUGGUCCGGUUCUGACGCUGAGGCGCGAAAAGCGUGGGGGAGCAAACAGGG